rnacentral:rRNA from 1 species
UACGUAGGGCGCGAGCGUUGUCCGGAAUUAUUGGGCGUAAAGAGCUCGUAGGCGGUUUGUCGCGUCGGUUGUGAAAACCCAAGGCUCAACCUUGGGCCUGCAAUCGAUACGGGCAGACUAGAGUACUGCAGGGGAGACUGGAAUUCCUGGUGUAGCGGUGGAAUGCGCAGAUAUCAGGAGGAACACCGGUGGCGAAGGCGGGUCUCUGGGCAGUAACUGACGCUGAGGAGCGAAAGCCAGGGGAGCAAACGGG